GCUUUGAACUAGCUAUUUUCAUGACUCAACGCGAGUCUUCUUGGUAUUUCUUUUGUUUUAUUUGCUCUGAUUUUGUAGAUUGCAUUAGUUUUAUUGAUUAAAUACGGUCGUAGAUUAUUGGAUUACCAUGAAAAUUUCUGUUUGGUUAAAUUAGAUCUGGUCAUAAGGUUUAGUUGAUUUACAGCAUUGCGCUCUAUAUAGUCCUCUAAAACAGUGCAAUCUCUUCAUCGACUGCGUGAAGGAUGGGGAUUCCAUGGGGUGAGUUUUGUAUUUGUUUUAGCUUCAACGAGGACAUUGUUAAGAAUCAAAGAUUGUUACAGAGACAUCAGUAUAUGUAACUGCAAUCUUUCUAACUCUGCCUUAUCCAUAUAAGAAAAAGAGCGUAGUACAAAUAUUAAAGGAUAUGGGAAGUGAACAAAUAUGGAAAAAAAGGGACCGGAGGGUGGGGCAGGAGUGAGAGAAAGAUCCGGAGACUGGCAAUUAUAUUGGGUGCUGAACGUGAGGAAAGCUUUAAAGGGAAGAAAACAUUAAUAGGAUUAUAUUAGAAUGAGAUAAAAAAUAGAGAAAAACAGUUUCCUAAAGUGAUAAUUAUAAGGGUUUUUUGUAUGAAUAUUUUUUAAAAAAUUCAAAUUUGAGUGAAUACCUUUUAAAAUUUAUAUUUAUUUCUAUACUCUCAUAAAACACUUUUUUUAGUUUUUCUAACACCAUUAAUAAAAACUAUAUUUAUUUUAAUUAAAAAUAAAAUAAAAAUUUGAAAUUAUUUUUUUUGAUUUCAAUCGCGAUCGUCUGAUAAUUUUUUUUGCACAUCUACAUAUUAAGAAUAUUUAAUCAUUUUAAUUUAAAACCAUUAAUUUUUAUUGGCGUUGGAUGAUGUGGGUAUAUAUGAUAAGGAUAAAAAUUGGAUAGAAUAGUAAAACAAGUAUUUUACGAGGAUAUACAUGCAAAUAUCAAGAGGAUAUUUAUAUAAAAUUUGAUAUUUAUGUAAAAAAAUUUUAAUUAUAAAAUAUGUGAACAGGGGUUUGUGGCUGAUGAAAGCUAUCAAGAUGCAUAGCAUGUGGGAAUCGGUACAAUAUUCGUUAGGUUAAAUAUCUACCAUUGUUUAUCAUUACUGCAGCCUA
rnacentral:lncRNA from 1 species